GACGAACGCUGGCGGCGUGCUUAACACAUGCAAGUCGAGCGGUAAGGCCCCUUCGGAGGUACACGAGCGGCGAACGGGUGAGUAACACGUGGGUGACCUGCCUUUAGCUCUGGGAUAAGCCUGGGAAACCGGGUCUAAUACCGGAUAUGACUCCGCGGCGCAUGUUGUGGGGUGGAAAGCCUUGUGCGGCUGGAGAUGGGCCCGCGGCCUAUCAGCUUGUUGGUGGGGUGAUGGCCUACCAAGGCGACGACGGGUAGCCGGCCUGAGAGGGCGACCGGCCACACUGGGACUGAGACACGGCCCAGACUCCUACGGGAGGCAGCAGUGGGGAAUAUUGGACAA
rnacentral:rRNA from 1 species